rnacentral:rRNA from 1 species
UACGUAGGGCGCAAGCGUUGUCCGGAAUUAUUGGGCGUAAAGAGCUCGUAGGCGGCUUGUCGCGUCGAUUGUGAAAGCCCGGGGCUUAACUCCGGGUCUGCAGUCGAUACGGGCAGGCUAGAGUGUGGUAGGGGAGAUCGGAAUUCCUGGUGUAGCGGUGAAAUGCGCAGAUAUCAGGAGGAACACCGGUGGCGAAGGCGGUUGCCUGGAGCUUUGCUGACGCUGAUGCGCGAAAGCGUGGGGAGCGAUCCGG